rnacentral:rRNA from 1 species
AGGUUGACCUCGGAUCAGGUAGGGAUACCCGCUGAACUUAAGCAUAUCAAUAAGCGGAGGAAAAGAAACCAACAGGGAUUGCCUCAGUAACGGCGAGUGAAGCGGCAAGAGCUCAAAUUUGAAAUCCGGCCCCCCUGGGGGCCUGAGUUGUAAUUUGCAGAGGAUGCUUCGGGCGCGACCGCGGUCCAAGUCCCCUGGAACGGGGCGUCGUAGAGGGUGAGAAUCCCGUCUCCGGCCGGCCGGUCUCGCCCGUGUGAAGCUCCUUCGACGAGUCGAGUUGUUUGGGAAUGCAGCUCCAAAUGGGUGGUAAAUUUCAUCUAAAGCUAAAUACUGGUCGGAGACCGAUAGCGCACAAGUAGAGUGAUCGAAAGAUGAAAAGCACUUUGAAAAGAGAGUUAAACAGCAUGUGAAAUUGUUGAAAGGGAAGCGCUUGCGACCAGAGUCGGCCGCGGGGGUUCAGCAGGCAUUCGUUGCCUGUGCAAUCCCCCGCGGCCGGGCCAGCGUCGGUUUCGACGGCCGGUCAAAGGCCCCCGGAAUGUGUCGCCUCUCGGGGCGUCUUAUAGCCGGGGGUGCAAUGCGGCCAGUCGGGACCGAGGAACGCGCUCCGGCACGGACGCUGGCUUAAUGGUCGUCAGCGACCCG